GACCGGAAUGUAGCAGCAGUAGCAGU
rnacentral:SRP_RNA from 14 species